UACGUAGGGUGCAAGCGUUAAUCGGAAUUACUGGGCGUAAAGCGUGCGCAGGCGGCCUCGCAAGUCAGAUGUGAAAUCCCCGAGCUUAACUUGGGAACUGCAUUUGAAACUACGGGGCUAGAGUGUGUCAGAGGGAGGUAGAAUUCCACGUGUAGCAGUGAAAUGCGUAGAGAUGUGGAGGAAUACCGGUGGCGAAGGCGGCCUCCUGGGAUAACACUGACGCUCAUGUACGAAAGCGUGGGGAGCAAACAGG
rnacentral:rRNA from 1 species